rnacentral:rRNA from 1 species
AAAAGGCGGNUCCUAAUACGAUCUGCUGUUGACGUGAACCCAAGAAGAAGCACCGGCUAACUCCGUGCCAGCAGCCGCGGUAAUACGGGGGGUGCAAGCGUUAAUCGGAAUCACUGGGCGUAAAGGGUGCGUAGGCGGUACGUUAGGUCUGUCGUGAAAUCCCCGGGCUCAACCUGGGAAUGGCGGUAGAAACCGGCGNACUAGAGUAUGGGAGAGGGUGGUGGAAUUCCAGGUGUAGCGGUGAAAUGCGUAGAGAUCUGGAGGAACAUCAGUGGCGAAGGCGGCCACCUGGCCCAAUACUGACGCUGAGGCACGAAAGCGUGGGGAGCAAACAGGAUUAGAUACCCUGGUAGUCCACGCCCUAAACGAUGAAUACUAGAUGUUUGGUNCCUAGCGUACUGAGUGUCGUAGCUAACGCGAUAAGUAUUCC